rnacentral:tmRNA from 1 species
GGGGGCGUCACGGCUUCGACGGAGAUGCUUGCGGCCAAGAGGCAUGCCGGGGUGCACACACCCGUAAUCGUGGGCAAAAUGAUAAUUGCCAAUCAACAGAUGGCAUACGCUGCUUAAUUAGUUAAGUAGCCGUCCUCCGCGGCUUUGCCCGUGGGCUGCGGUAAGGACGUCGCACAGCGGGCUGGCCUUCUCUGCUACGUCUGGGCAGGAGGGCGAGACUUUCAGGCUAGCGGCUUGCGUUUCUUGUCCGUUCUGAGCGACGGCCGCGAACGUCCUGGGGUAAUGCCCAGGGCAUGAACCGGACUAAGCAUGUAGGCUCUUGACCAGUAACAUUUUCGGACGCGGGUUCGACUCCCGCCGCCUCCACCA